GCGGGGUUUAGUGGUAAUUUGAAGGUAACAGCAUUUAAUAAAAUUUACGGCAGGCUGAAAGGUUUGUGGGUUCAAAUCCCGCACUCCGCA
rnacentral:tRNA from 1 species